CCGAGUUCGGGGGCAAUCCCAGUCCCGACCUCCAACCCUUUGUGAACAUAUCUUGCUGCUUCGGGGGCGACCCUGCCGUUCGCGGCAUUCCCCCCGGAGGUCAUCAAAACACUGCAUUAUUACGUCGGAGUAAAAAGUUAAUUUAAUA
rnacentral:misc_RNA from 1 species